rnacentral:tRNA from 1 species
GCCUUCGUGGUGUAAUGGUCAGCACACUGAGCCGGUAAUUCAGAGGUCCGCGGUUCGAUCCCCGCCGAAGGCA